UACGAAGGGUGCAAGCGUUACUCGGAAUUACUGGGCGUAAAGCGUGCGUAGGUGGUUUGUUAAGUCUGCUGUGAAAGCCCCGGGCUCAACCUGGGAAUGGCAGUGGAUACUGGCAAGCUAGAGUGCGGUAGAGGGUAGUGGAAUUCCCGGUGUAGCGGUGAAAUGCGUAGAGAUCGGGAGGAACACCAGUGGCGAAGGCGGCUACCUGGACCAGCACUGACACUCAGGCACGAAAGCGUGGGGAGCAAACAGG
rnacentral:rRNA from 1 species